ACAAAUGAUGAAAGGCCUUAGGAACAGUUCAAGUUUCCAGGUCUAUCAUGACUGGCAUCUGUCAGUCUUCCAUCCUACCCCUGAAAACACGCAGCCAGCCCCAUCUUCUUCGUCUUCAUUCUUCAAAACUCAUCGCACAGAAACUCUGUUUGAGAGAGAGGGAGAAGACCUGCGGAGUAGGCUCUCCAGCCUUAACACGGGGGAUCUGCGGCACAUGGCUCUACGGCGUCGAGAUAACAGAGGGGAUCCGCCGCGUAUGGUGGCGAAGUUUGUGGCGGCUCUCCGGCGUCGACAACGGUGAAGAGGUAUGCACCGGCCGGAGGCAUUCUGGCAACAGGUUAUGUAUUCUUAGUAUCUAUUUCAAUCUUAGCGAACCUUCUUCCAUACCAUGAAAUUGAAGUUCAAUUGCUAUGCUUUCCCACUAAUUUACUUCUGUUACAAAUCUAUGUUGCUUGAACUUGAGAAACUAGGUUUUUUUCCUACAUAAAUAAUCUAUAUGGAAGUUGACAAGUCUUCAUGGUUGAACCAUAGAUUUAGAUUUUAUAAGAUGAAUUAAAGAUGCAGGUUAUUGAGUGUAGGUGAGGUGUUAGAGUAAACGAGAAAUAGAAGUAGAGGUGAAGGUAGGUGGGAUUUAAAGGGAUUUUUUGGAACAGCUGGUAAAUGUUGACGAUCAACAAAAGUCAACUUAGUUGAGUGUUAAUUUACUUUCGUCUCUCAGUUUUAAUUUAGCUCCGGUGCUAUAUUGGAUGGUGUUGAAAUUCUUUCGACUACCGCCUAUGCGUCAACACUGUCAACGCGACAUUCAUACUUCGCCGGCCACAUUGCCUACUUUGUCCGCCGCAACGCGGCGGGAUACAUCCUAGUAUAUAACAUUUACGGUAGGUCUUGGCUACAGUCCCCGUUCCCAGGUUUUACCAACCUACACCUGCCGGUCACCACCACCGAGUGCACAUGCACCCACCCUUUUACAACCAAUAACCAUCGACUGCCCCAAAUCCAGGUCCGGCGAUAAGCAUCACAUCCAGAUCCGGCGAAAACCAUCGCGAAAUCGAUAGCGGAAACUGAGGUAAUCCCUUUCUUUCCUGAAUCGCAGCAGGUACCGACAUCGUCUCCCACAUCGGUUAACCACCAUCGUCACCACAAUCACCGUCGCUCGCUACCUGCAAAACCCUAGCCUUGCCCAGCACCAGCCUUAAUCGAACACUAGUGAGUCGGAAUUGUCGUCACCCAAUCGGGUAUAACAACACCAGGUACUUUUUCUUCUCUCGCUCUAUGUUAGUUUUCCUGAUAUUUGGUCAAUUAUACAUGUUCUAACACUUGUGGGGAACGUUGAACUAGCCGUCAGACAGUAGCGGUAGUCAGUGGUACUUGAUCUAUCUUUGGGGUUCUGUAAAUAUCCUAUUUUUUUAAUUGAUGUAAUAAUAAUUUGAUUAUUUGCUUACCUAGGAACCUGCUGUUGGAAUGCACCAAAUUUAUAGAUUCUAGGUCUAAGCAUUCGCAUGAGGGAAAGACGGAGUUUUUGGCUGAGUUGUCGAUUAUGGCGUGUGAUAAGAAUCUUGUCCUACUCCAAGGAUGGUGUGUUGAAAAAAAAAAAACGUCCCAAUCAAUAUUCAUUAAAAAAAAAAAGUCGCCGUU